CCUACGGGUGGCAGCAGUAGGGAAUUUUCGUCAAUGGGCGCAAGCCUGAACGAGCGAUGCCGCGUGAGUGAAGAAGGCUUUCGGGUCGUAAAGCUCUGUUGCGGGGGAAAAAAGGCAGCAUCAGGAAAUGGGAGAUGACUGAUGGAGCCCCGCCAGAAAGGCACGGCUAACGACGUGCCAGCAGCCGAGGUAAUACGUAGGUGGCGAGCGUUAUCCGGAAUGAGUGGGCGUAACGGGUGUGCAGGCGGUCCUGCAAGUCUGGAGUGAAACGCAUGGGCUCAACUCAUGUAUGGCUUUGGAAGCUGGAGGACUGGAGAGCAGGAGAGGGCGGUGGAACUCCAUGUGUAGCGGUAAAAUGCGUAGAUAUAAGGAAGAACACCAGUGGCGAAGGCGGCCGCCUGGACUGUUGCUGACGCUGAGGCACGAAAGCGUGGGGAGCAAAUAGGAUUAGAUACCCCAGUAGUC
rnacentral:rRNA from 1 species